rnacentral:rRNA from 1 species
UGACCUCAGAUCAGAUAAGGAUACCCGCUGAACUUAAGCAUAUCAAUAAGCGGAGGA